rnacentral:rRNA from 1 species
GACGAACCGUGCAAACGUUAUUCGGAAUCACUGGGCUUAAAGGGCGCGUAGGCGGGCCGCCAGGUCCGGGGUGAAAGCCUCCAGCUCAACUGGAGAAGUGCCUUGGAUACCGGCGGCCUCGAGGGAGGCAGGGGCGUGCGGAACUUCGGGUGGAGCGGUGAAAUGCGUAGAUAUCCGAAGGAACACCGGUGGCGAAAGCGGCGCGCUGGACCCCUUCUGACGCUGAGGCGCGAAAGCCAGGGGAGCAAACGGG